rnacentral:rRNA from 1 species
UACGUAGGAGGCGAGCGUUGUCCGGAGUUACUGGGCGUAAAGGGUGCGCAGGCGGCGGUUCGCGUGGCGAGAUGAAAUCUCCUGGCUUACCUGGGAGGAUGGUCGCCAGACGGGAUCGCUUGAGGGUCGGAGAGGGGCGUGGAAUUCCGGGUGGAGCGGUGAAAUGCGUAGAGAUCCGGAGGAACACCAGCGGCGAAGGCGGCAUCCUGGACUGGUCCUGACACUCAGGAGCGAAAGCGUGGGGAGCGAUCCGG